GACGAACGCUGGCGGCGUGCUUAACACAUGCAAGUCGUACGGUAAGGCCCUUUCGGGGGUACACGAGUGGCGAACGGGUGAGUAACACGUGAGUAACCUGCCCACAACUUUGGGAUAACGCUAGGAAACUGGUGCUAAUACUGGAUAUGUGCUCCUGCUGCAUGGUGGGGGUUGGAAAGCUCCGGCGGUUGUGGAUGGACUCACGGCCUAUCAGCUUGUUGGUGGGGUAGUGGCCUACCAAGGCGGCGACGGGUAGCCGGCCUGAGAGGGUGACCGGCCACAUUGGGACCGAGAUACGGCCCAGACUCCUACGGGAGGCAGCAGUGGGGAAUAUUGCACAAUGGGCGCAAGCCUGAUGCAGCAACGCCGCGUGCGGGAUGACGGCCUUCGGGUUGUAAACCGCUUUCAGCAGGGACGAAGCUUUUUGUGACGGUACCUGCAGAAGAAGCACCGGCUAACUACGUG
rnacentral:rRNA from 1 species